CUUAUUAUUAUUUCGACGCUGCUGCCGCCCGAGAAACGGGGUUAUAAUAUUGUAUACGCUCGAGUCGUAUAUAACCGCACUUAUUAUACCGCGUAUAUAAACGGACGUUUUAUAUUGCAAAACGCCGUGUUUUUUGAGAGCCGUGACGUUUAUCUUUCGGAGAUUUUAUCGACUCGGCGGCAGCGGCUGUACGUUUCGACAUUAAGACAUUUUUACCCUCGAGCGGAUCGCGUUUACGGAAAGUGCGUUGCUGCAGCACAGGUAUCUGUAUCGUUGCGAAUCGUAACGGCGCACGGUUUCCGCGAGUUGGUCGGGGGCUAAGCGGUUAAUACGGUG